CAGAGUAGGAGUGUAUCUGGACUGGGGGGCUGGUGCUCUGACCUUCUACAGAGUCUCCUCUGAUGGACUGACCCCCCUGCACAGAUUCACCUCCUCAUUCACUGAGUCCCUCUAUCCAGGGUUUGGGGUUUAUCCAAACUCCCCCGUGUCGCUGUGCAUGCUGGGAUAGCUCACUGUGUGCUGGAGGAAUCAUUUUUACCAUAUCAGAGUCUCACAUGUCGCUGCUUCUCCGUGGCAAAAAGAGAUGAGAGUCUUUUACCAAGCGUACAGUGUCCAGAGUGGAUGAGCAUGACCACAGUGAGAAGAGGAUCUGAUGGAUGGAGGACCUAAGUACCAUAAUCUUAGUAACGCAUGAGCAGAAUUGGACCAUAAGAGGAACUGGCCGGCUCCAUCUCACACAUGUGGGAAGAGCGCUGUCUCAGCAGGCGACUAUAGCUGCAAUGUUUAGAGUGGUGGGAGGACCGUUUGGAGCGGCAACCUCCUGGACCAACACGGAAACGGAUGGCGACAUAGACACCUUGGAUACGCUCCUGCCCAUAGCUGAAGUUCGGCCGUACCGCCUGUGAAUACUCCAUGUUGGAAACGCUGCAGCCUGCCUGCCGCCCACGACA